ACGAACGCUGGCGGCGUGCCUAACACAUGCAAGUCGAGCGGGGAUUUAAGUGGAAGUUCUUCGGAAUGGAGAUUUAAAUUCUAGCGGCGGACGGGUGAGUAACGCGUGAACAAUCUGUCCCGGACAGGGGGAUAACACUUGGAAACAGGUGCUAAUACCGCAUAAGACCACGGCCUCGCAUGGGGCUGAGGUAAAAGGAGCAAUCCGGUUCGGGGUGAGUUCGCGUCCGAUUAGCUAGUUGGUGAGGUAACGGCCCACCAAGGCGACGAUCGGUAGCCGGCCUGAGAGGGUGAACGGCCACAUUGGAACUGAGAGACGGUCCAAACUCCUACGGGAGGCAGCAGUGGGGAAUAUUGGGCAAUGGGCGAAAGCCUGACCCAGCAACGCCGCGUGAGGGAAGAAGGUUUUCGGAUUGUAAACCUCUGUCCUAUGGGACGAAGGAAGUGACGGUACCAUAGGAGGAAGCCCCGGCUAACUACGUG
rnacentral:rRNA from 1 species